UACGGGGGGGGCAAGCGUUGUUCGGAAUUACUGGGCGUAAAGGGCUCGUAGGUGGCCAACUAAGUCAGACGUGAAAUCCCUCGGCUUAACCGGGGAACUGCGUCUGAUACUGGAUGGCUUGAGUUCGGGAGAGGGAUGCGGAAUUCCUGGUGUAGCGGUGAAAUGCGCAGAUAUCAGGAGGAACACCGGUGGCGAAGGCGGGUCUCUGGGCCGAUACUGACGCUGGAGGAGCGAAAGGCGUGGGGAGCGAACAGG
rnacentral:rRNA from 1 species